rnacentral:rRNA from 1 species
CCUACGGGAGGCAGCAGUGAGGAAUAUUGGUCAAUGGACGAGAGUCUGAACCAGCCAAGUAGCGUGAAGGAUGACUGCCCUAUGGGUUGUAAACUUCUUUUAUAUGGGAAUAAAAUGUUCCACGUGUGGGAUUUUGUAUGUACCAUAUGAAUAAGGAUCGGCUAACUCCGUGCCAGCAGCCGCGGUAAUACGGAGGAUCCGAGCGUUAUCCGGAUUUAUUGGGUUUAAAGGGAGCGUAGGUGGACUGUUAAGUCAGUUGUGAAAGUUUGCGGCUCAACCGUAAAAUUGCAGUUGAAACUGGCAGUCUUGAGUACAGUAGAGGUGGGCGGAAUUCGUGGUGUAGCGGUGAAAUGCUUAGAUAUCACGAAGAACUCCGAUUGCGAAGGCAGUUCACUGGACUGCAACUGACACUGAGGCUCGAAAGUGUGGGUAUCAAACAGGAUUAGAUACCCGUGUAGUC